GACUGUGAUCAAUAGCUGAUUUGAGAGGAUGAUCAGCCACAUUGGGACUGAGACACGGCCCAAACUCCUACGGGAGGCAGCAGUGGGGAAUCUUGCACAAUGGAGGAAACUCUGAUGCAGCGAUGCCGCGUGAGUGAAGAAGGCCCUUGGGUUGUAAAGCUCUUUCGUCGGGGAAGAAAAUGACUGUACCCGAAUAAGAAGGUCCGGCUAACUUCGUGCCAGCAGCCGCGGUAAUACGAAGGGACCUAGCGUAGUUCGGAAUUACUGGGCUUAAAGAGUUCGUAGGUGGUUGAAAAAGUUAGUGGUGAAAUCCCAGAGCUUAACUCUGGAACUGCCAUUAAAACUUUUCAGCUAGAGUAUGAUAGAGGAAAGCAGAAUUUCUAGUGUAGAGGUGAAAUUCGUAGAUAUUAGAAAGAAUACCAAUUGCGAAGGCAGCUUUCUGGAUCAUUACUGACACUGAGGAACGAAAGCAUGGGUAGCGAAGAGGAUUAGAUACCCUCGUAGUCCAUGCCGUAAACGAUGUGUGUUAGACGUUGGAAAUUUAUUUUCAGUGUCGCAGGGAAACCGAUAAACACACCGCCUGGGGAGUACGACCGCAAGGUUAAAACUCAAAUGAAUUGACGGGGACCCGCACAAGUAGUGGAGCAUGUGGUUUAAUUCGAAGAUACGCGCAGAACCUUACCAACACUUGACAUGUUCGUCGCGACUCUAAGAGAUUAGAGUUUUCGGUUCGGCCGGACGAAACACAGGUGCUGCAUGGCUGUCGUCAGCUCGUGUCGUGAGAUGUUGGGUUAAGUCCCGCAACGAGCGCAACCCUCACUUUUAGUUGCCAUCAUUAAGUUGGGCACUCUGAAAGAACUGCCAGUGAUAAGCUGGAGGAAGGUGGGGAUGACGUCAAGUCCUCAUGGCCCUUACGUGUUGGGCUAC
rnacentral:rRNA from 1 species